AAAAAAACAAACCCUGGAUCUACGUGUCCAACGUUUGACUGUCCGUCUUAUAUGAAAUUUUUUUAUAAUUAGUAUUUUCAUUGUUGUUAGAUGAUAAAACAUGAUUAAUACUUUAUGCGUGACUUAUCCUUUUAAUUUUUUUCAUAAUUUUUUCAAAUAAGACGGACGGUCAAACGUUGGACACGGAAACCCAGGGUUUGUCUUUUU
rnacentral:pre_miRNA from 1 species